rnacentral:rRNA from 1 species
CCUACGGGCGGCUGCAGUGGGGAAUAUUGGACAAUGGGGGCAACCCUGAUCCAGCCAUGCCGCGUGUGUGAAGAAGGCCCUCGGGUUGUAAAGCACUUUCAGUGAGGAAGAACGCCUGGUGGUUAAUACCCAUCAGGAAAGACAUCACUCACAGAAGAAGCACCGGCUAACUCCGUGCCAGCAGCCGCGGUAAUACGGAGGGUGCGAGCGUUAAUCGGAAUUACUGGGCGUAAAGCGCGCGUAGGUGGCUUGAUAAGCCGGUUGUGAAAGCCCCGGGCUCAACCUGGGAACGGCAUCCGGAACUGUCAAGCUAGAGUGCAGGAGAGGAAGGUAGAAUUCCCGGUGUAGCGGUGAACUGCGUAGAGAUCGGGAGGAAUACCAGUGGCGAAGGCGGCCUUCUGGACUGACACUGACACUGAGGUGCGAAAGCGUGGGUAGCAAACAGGAUUAGAUACCCCAGUAGUC